rnacentral:rRNA from 1 species
GGGUCAGUAGGUUGGUCGUGCCACCGGUACGUACUGGUCUCACUGAUUCCUCCUUCCUGAAGAACCAUAAUGCCAUUAAUUUGGUGUUGCGGGGAAACAGGACUGUUACUUCGAAAAAAUUAGAGUGUUUAAAGCAAGCUAACGCUUGAAUACAUUAGCAUGGAAUAAUGAAAUAGGACGAUCGAUCCUAUUUUGUUGGUUUCUAGGAUUGACGUA